rnacentral:rRNA from 1 species
UGGGGAAUUUUGGACAAUGGGCGCAAGCCUGAUCCAGCAAUGCCGCGUGAGUGAAGAAGGCCUUCGGGUUGUAAAGCUCUUUUGUCAGGGAAGAAACGGGUUUUUCUAAUACAGAGAUCUAAUGACGGUACCUGAAGAAUAAGCACCGGCUAACUACGUG